UGGGGAAUAUUGGACAAUGGGGGGAACCCUGAUCCAGCCAUGCCGCGUGUGUGAAGAAGGCCUUAUGGUUGUAAAGCACUUUAAGCGAGGAGGAGGGUACUGGUAUUAAUACUACCAGGUACUGGACGUUACUCGCAGAAUAAGCACCGGCUAACUCUGUGCCAGCAGCCACGGUAAUACAGAGGGUGCGAGCGUUAAUCGGAUUUACUGGGCGUAAAGCGUGCGUAGGCGGCUAAUUGAGUCGGAUGUGAAAUCCCCGAGCUUAACUUGGGAAUUGCAUUCGAUACUGGUUAGCUAGAGUGUGGGAGAGGAUGGUAGAAUUCCAGGUGUAGCGGUGAAAUGCGUAGAGAUCUGGAGGAAUACCGAUGGCGAAGGCAGCCAUCUGGCCUAACACUGACGCUGAGGUACGAAAGCAUGGGGAGCAAACAGG
rnacentral:rRNA from 1 species